rnacentral:rRNA from 1 species
GACGAACGCUGGCGGCGUGCUUAACACAUGCAAGUCGAACGGAAAGGCCCCCAUCUUGGUGGGGGUGCUCGAGUGGCGAACGGGUGAGUAACACGUGGGUGAUCUGCCCUGUACUUCGGGAUAAGCUUGGGAAACUGGGUCUAAUACCGGAUAGGACCAUGGUUUAGUGUCUCAUGGUGGAAAGAUUAUUGUUUUGGUGCAGGAUGAGCUCGCGGCCUAUCAGCUUGUUGGUGGGGUAAUGGCCUACCAAGGCGUCGACGGGUAGCCGGCCUGAGAGGGUGGACGGCCACAGUGGGACUGGGAUACGGCCCAGACUGCUACGGGAGGCAGCAGUGGGGGAUAUUGCACAAGGGGCGCAAGGCUGAUGCAGCGACGCCGCGUGGGGGAUGACGGCCGUCGGGUUGUAAACUCCUUUCGUUAGGGACGAAGCCGCACUUUUUUUGGGUGUGGUGACGGUACCUUUGUUAAGAAGCACCGGCUAACUACGUG